rnacentral:rRNA from 1 species
AACGAACGCUGGCGGCAUGCCUAACACAUGCAAGUCGAACGAGACCUUCGGGUCUAGUGGCGCACGGGUGCGUAACGCGUGGGAACCUGCCCUUAGGUUCGGAAUAACUCCCCGAAAGGGGUGCUAAUACCGGAUAAUGUCUUCGGACCAAAGAUUUAUCGCCUUUGGAUGGGCCCGCGUUGGAUUAGCUAGUUGGUAGGGUAAAAGCCUACCAAGGCGACGAUCCAUAGCUGGUCUGAGAGGAGGAUCAGCCACACUGGGACUGAGACACGGCCCAGACUCCUACGGGAGGCAGCAGUGGGGAAUAUUGGACAAUGGGCGAAAGCCUGAUCCGGCAAUGCCGCGUGAGUGAUGAAGGCCUUAGGGUUGUAAAGCUCUUUUACCCGGGAUGAUAAUGACAGUACCGGGAGAAUAAGCUCCGGCUAACUCCGUG